rnacentral:lncRNA from 1 species
UUUUCUGGCGUCAGCGUUGCGGCUCAAGGCAAAGCUGGUCCUGUGCCUGCUGUCCACUGCCGCUAAGGCCUGCUGCUGCCAUUCAGGCGUGUCUCUCUCUCUCUCUCUCUCUCUCUUUCAUGCUGCUCUCUCCACCCCAUCUUGGGACGGCCAGCUCUAAGAAUUCCUGCUACGACACUGAAUUCAACCAGGAGUCAGCAUGAAUACCAGCACAGCCCAACUAUGUCUAAGCAGAUCUGUGCAGGAAUGAGAGUCCCAGGGAGAGAAUCCACGUUGUUUCUGAAAGAAAAUGGCUAUAGCUCACUGUUGUUUACUGGAAAUAGUAGGGGGAAGGAAAGAUGGAAGUCCAGGUCCAGUGUCAUAUGCUGCCCUGCACCUUACUCACUUCUCUGCCUUUAGGGUGAUGCCACACUCAAUCAGAAACUAUGCUACUGUUGAAGAGGCAUAUUGAGCUCUGCCUGGUUAACCUCCAGUGAGGUUGUUAGAGAAUUGGGAGAGGCUCAAAUCAGCAUCCUGCACCUAGUUAUCAAACAAUUGUGAAGUCUUGAUUCCUGGAUGGCCAGAAAACUUGUCAUUGGUCAAGAGCAACAUUAAGAUCUGCCUGUUACUCAUACAGAUGCUUCUUGCGCAGCAAGUUCAUCAGAGGGCGAGGAUGAAUUACGGUUGCUAUGAAUGUCCUUGUGAGGCAGUUGGGAAGCCUUG